GCCCCCAUAGCUCAGCAGAUAGAGCAGCACCCUUCUAAGGUGAAGGUCGUAGGUGCAAAUCCUACUGGGGGUACCA
rnacentral:tRNA from 1 species